rnacentral:piRNA from 1 species
UCCAGUAGGCGCUGUGCUGUGUA